rnacentral:rRNA from 1 species
CACACCGCCCGUCACACCAUGGGAGUUUGUUGCACCAGAAGCAGGUAGCUUAACCUUCGGGAGGGCGCUUGCCACGGUGUGGGCCGAUGACUGGGGGUG